AGCGACCUAGUACACCGCAGGCUAUUACCAAGAUGGAAACUAAAUGUGAUAUUGACUCAGUAUUGAAUAUAACAUUACUAUUAAAAAAUCUGUCCAUAAAUUGAAAUCACUCGCCUUCUUCUUCUUUCUCAGCUUCAACCUUCGCUUCUUUUCUUUUUAAGAGAAGAAGCGAUCGGUUAACACAAACUGAUAUUCACCUUGACCAGUAAUCAAAACCUAAACAUGAAAACUGAAUUUGAUCCAUCCCUCAAUUAGAUUUAGUCAAUCGCGAUCUUAAAUCAGCAAAUAUGAACCUUGUUUAACCUAGAUUCUAAACCGUUUUCUACACCAUAAUCAACAACUAAGAUCCACAAAUUGAAGCAUGAGAGUUAUGGGAUCUACAAAACAACUAUGACAUCGAAGCAUUAUCAAGCAAAAGGAAAGAAAUUUCACCGGAUGAUCAUAACUCCGGCGAAGGUCCGACGACCACGACUACCUUCGGUAUUGUUGUUUCUGGUUUUGUUGUGGCUGUUGGAAUGAUGAGGUUUAGCUCAACUAUUUCAGAAUUUCGAGAAGAAACUCCUAGUAGUUCACGGUUUUCGAGCUUUUGAUAGGGUUGGGGGAAGAUUUCAGCAGAGUGACGGUGCUAAAAAAUUUCGGAUUAGGUCCUUCUACCCUAACGAUGGAGGGUCCUUAUAUAGAGCUUUGGAGGUACGAGGUUUCUCAUUCCUCUUUCAUGAGCUGGCGAAUUUUUGGGAGAAUCAUUCCGUUAGGUAGCAGGAUUUUUCUCAGAGUUGGUGGUCCCUUAAUAACAGGUGGUAAGGCGAGUUUGUUGGUAGUGGAAUCCCUCCAUGAUGCGUGGCCCCUCUUUUAAAUUUCUCUUGGAUUAUUACUGCUGUAAGACAGACUUGCAGGAUUCAUUUUGGUGGCAUGACGAAUUCUUAUUCACUACCUUGGUUGUGAAAGUGGCUUUUGUGUUUUGGCUUAUGUUACCGUAGAACUUGCAGCGUUUGGUGGUACUGUUCCGUCUUACAAUAUCAAUCCAUUGUUGAUUAGUUCCUCAUGUCUUGUUGGCUUAAGUUUUUUUUGUUUUGAGCUCUGCGAGGCACAUAUUAUUAUGACUGUUGAGUUGGUAUUGACGACAUCGCUACCUUUGAGCUAACUCAUUGCUUCUUAUAGCCCUUGAUUUGGGUUGAUCCGAAAACUGCAUAGGCUAGGUUUGUUGGCUUCAAUGCAGGUUGUAUGUUGGUUUGGCAAUGUUUGCUGGUGUGCAUGUAGGAUUUGCAGCAAGUCCGUGAUGACCAAAACUGAGAUGUCGAGAGUCCUGAUUUUGCCCGGUUGUUUUCUACAGCAUAUGAUGGUCUGAAUGAGGUUUUAUACUUAUUAACUAUGUUCUGCCUGGGAUCAUACAUUGCAAACGUGUUCGUAGAGCCUCCCAAAUGUCUCUGCUGCUCAAGAAAAGUCACAACUAGUUGCACCAGCUGUUCUGGUUGUAGGGAUCCCACAGGGGUUGGAGGAUCAAAAUCUCAUUUCCUGAUGUGAUGACAUGUUGUUACUGCCAAAUGGUAUACCAGAAUUUCCGCUGGAAUGUUGAGUCGAAUUUAUUCAUAUUGGGUGACGCUCCUCAGCAGUAGGUUCAACAACACCGCUAAAUAGAUGUGAAGACAAAGCUCUGUUUGAAGUUAUGCGGAUUGUUAGGAAGCCGGUUUGGCCCUGAUAUCCGUGGCUGGAUUGACAAAGAAAACAUUCCAGGAUUGCUGUCAUGGAUACAAGUACAUGGUCGAUGAAGAUUGCGUGUCAUAGGGUUUUUACAAACUCCAGUCGGUCUGAUGCGAAUGGUCAAAUAGAGUUCGGAUAAAAGCUUGGAGUUUUCUUGAAAUCUGUCAUUUUAAGUUCAAAAGACAGCUGAGGAUUUUGCUUCACUUCUUGUAAUGAAUUUACCUUAACAAUUGUAUGAUAUGGCUUGACUGAGUAACUGUAUUAAAGGUUAAUAUGUAAACAGCCUGAUAUAACAGGAUUCUAACUUUGAAAUGUGAAUUUUUCUUCUUUGAA